UAUGAGAGUUUGAUCCUGGCUCAGGACGAACGCUGGCGGCGUGCCUAAUACAUGCAAGUCGUACGCUUCUUUUUCCACCGGAGCUUGCUCCACCGGAAAAAGAAGAGUGGCGAACGGGUGAGUAACACGUGGGUAACCUACCCAUCAGAAGGGGAUAACACUUGGAAACAGGUGCUAAUACCGUAUAACAAUCGAAACCGCAUGGUUUUGAUUUGAAAGGCGCUUUCGGGUGUCGCUGAUGGAUGGACCCGCGGUGCAUUAGCUAGUUGGUGAGGUAACGGCUCACCAAGGCAACGAUGCAUAGCCGACCUGAGAGGGUGAUCGGCCACAUUGGGACUGAGACACGGCCCAAACUCCUACGGGAGGCAGCAGUAGGGAAUCUUCGGCAAUGGACGAAAGUCUGACCGAGCAACGCCGCGUGAGUGAAGAAGGUUUUCGGAUCGUAAAACUCUGUUGUUAGAGAAGAACAAGGAUGAGAGUAACUGUUCAUCCCUUGACGGUAUCUAACCAGAAAGCCACGGCUAACUACGUGCCAGCAGCCGCGGUAAUACGUAGGUGGCAAGCGUUGUCCGGAUUUAUUGGGCGUAAAGCGAGCGCAGGCGGUUUCUUAAGUCUGAUGUGAAAGCCCCCGGCUCAACCGGGGAGGGUCAUUGGAAACUGGGAGACUUGAGUGCAGAAGAGGAGAGUGGAAUUCCAUGUGUAGCGGUGAAAUGCGUAGAUAUAUGGAGGAACACCAGUGGCGAAGGCGGCUCUCUGGUCUGUAACUGACGCUGAGGCUCGAAAGCGUGGGGAGCAAACAGGAUUAGAUACCCUGGUAGUCCACGCCGUAAACGAUGAGUGCUAAGUGUUGGAGGGUUUCCGCCCUUCAGUGCUGCAGCUAACGCAUUAAGCACUCCGCCUGGGGAGUACGACCGCAAGGUUGAAACUCAAAGGAAUUGACGGGGGCCCGCACAAGCGGUGGAGCAUGUGGUUUAAUUCGAAGCAACGCGAAGAACCUUACCAGGUCUUGACAUCCUUUGACCACUCUAGAGAUAGAGCUUCCCCUUCGGGGGCAAAGUGACAGGUGGUGCAUGGUUGUCGUCAGCUCGUGUCGUGAGAUGUUGGGUUAAGUCCCGCAACGAGCGCAACCCUUAUUGUUAGUUGCCAUCAUUCAGUUGGGCACUCUAGCAAGACUGCCGGUGACAAACCGGAGGAAGGUGGGGAUGACGUCAAAUCAUCAUGCCCCUUAUGACCUGGGCUACACACGUGCUACAAUGGGAAGUACAACGAGUCGCGAAGUCGCGAGGCUAAGCUAAUCUCUUAAAGCUUCUCUCAGUUCGGAUUGUAGGCUGCAACUCGCCUACAUGAAGCCGGAAUCGCUAGUAAUCGCGGAUCAGCACGCCGCGGUGAAUACGUUCCCGGGCCUUGUACACACCGCCCGUCACACCACGAGAGUUUGUAACACCCGAAGUCGGUGAGGUAACCUUUUGGAGCCAGCCGCCUAAGGUGGGAUAGAUGAUUGGGGUGAAGUCGUAACAAGGUAGCCGUAUCGGAAGGUGCGGCUGGAUCACCUCCUUUCUAAGGAA
rnacentral:rRNA from 1 species